GAGCAGGAAGAAUUGGGAGCAGAUUUUAUAAAGAAUGGAGGACCAAAAGCAAAGCUGCCCUCCAUCCCGGAAGAGUCCGAAGGACCUUCUACAAAAUGAGGGACUCACGUGGCCUCAGACUCGCUCUCUAGCCAAGGGUAACCUCUAACUUGCUGAGCCUCUAGGAAGACCACAGCAGAUACCCAAGCUCUCUGCAAAAGCUCCUCAAAUUCCAAUCUCUUCUGGACCCUUCAAGUGCUGGGAUUGCAGGAUACUCCUGUGCAAAUCAAGUUGGCAUCAAGUUCUCAAGGCUCCUGCCACAGCCCUAGCAAGAAAAACAAAACCAGAGGAAGGGGUGAGAGAAAAAAAAGCAAAUGGGGAACUGAAAAAUUAUUGAAGGGCUGGUGAGGUGACUCAGUGGAAAAAGGAGCUUGCUGUCAAGUCUGAAGACCAGAGUUCAAUUCCCAGGACCCACCUGGUGGAAGUUGUCUUCAAACUGCCCCAUGAAUAUUCAAACACAAGCAUGUAUAUUCAUACAAAAUAAAUAAAUAUAAUUUAAAAAAAUAAACGGCUGAAAAG
rnacentral:lncRNA from 1 species